AAUAGUCUCAUUUUUCGUUUUUCUGUGUCCAACGUUUGACCAUUCGUUUUAUUUGAAAUAUUUUUGCGAUUAAUAUUUUUUAUUAUUACUAGAUAAUAAAAUAUGAAUAGUACUUUAUACGUGACUAAUUUUUUUUGAUUUUUGCACAAAUUUUUCAAAUAACACGAAUGGUCAAACGUUGGACACGGAAAAACGAAAAAUGAGGUUAUU
rfam:Oryza brachyantha chromosome 6, whole genome shotgun sequence.